UAGUUGGUAGGGUAAAGGCCUACCAAGGCGACGAUCUAUAGCUGGUCUGAGAGGACGAUCAGCCACACUGGGACUGAGACACGGCCCAGACUCCUACGGGAGGCAGCAGUGGGGAAUAUUGGACAAUGGGCGCAAGCCUGAUCCAGCAAUACCGCGUGUGUGAAGAAGGCCCUAGGGUUGUAAAGCACUUUCAAUGGGGAGGAAAACCUGCCGGCCAAUACCCGGUAGCUUGACAUUACCUAUAGAAGAAGCACCGGCUAACUCCGUGCCAGCAGCCGCGGUAAUACGGAGGGUGCGAGCGUUAAUCGGAAUUACUGGGCGUAAAGCGUGCGUAGGCGGUUCGUUAAGUCAGAUGUGAAAGCCCCGGGCUCAACCUGGGAACUGCAUUUGAAACUGGCGAACUAGAGUUGGGUAGAGGGGAGUGGAAUUUCAGGUGUAGCGGUGAAAUGCGUAGAUAUCUGAAGGAACACCAGUGGCGAAGGCGACUCCCUGGACUCAAACUGACGCUGAGGUACGAAAGCGUGGGUAGCAAACAGGAUUAGAUACCCUGGUAGUCCACGCCGUAAACGAUGUCAACUAGCCGUUGGUCCUAUUUACAGGAUUAGUGGCGCAGCUAACGCAUUAAGUUGACCGCCUGGGGAGUACGGCCGCAAGGUUAAAACUUAAAGGAAUUGACGG
rnacentral:rRNA from 1 species